rnacentral:rRNA from 1 species
GACGAACGCUGGCGGCGUGCUUAACACAUGCAAGUCGAACGGUAAGGCCCUUCGGGGUACACGAGUGGCGAACGGGUGAGUAACACGUGGGUGAUCUGCCCUGCACUUCGGGAUAAGCCUGGGAAACUGGGUCUAAUACCGGAUAGGACCCUGGGAUGCAUGUCCUGGGGUGGAAAGCUUUUGCGGUGUGGGAUGGGCCCGCGGCCUAUCAGCUUGUUGGUGGGGUGAUGGCCUACCAAGGCGACGACGGGUAGCCGGCCUGAGGGGGUGACCGGCCACACUGGGACUGAGAUACGGCCCAGGCUCCUACGGGAGGCAGCGGUGGGGAAUAUUGCACAAUGGGCGCAAGCCUGAUGCAGCGACGCCGCGUGAGGGAUGACGGCCUUCGGGUUGUAAACCUCUUUCAGCACCGACGAAGCGCAAGUGACGGUAGGUGCAGAAGAAGGACCGGCCAACUACGUGCCAGCCGCCGCGGUAA